rnacentral:rRNA from 1 species
UACGUAGGGUGCGAGCGUUAAUCGGAAUACUGGGCGUAAAGCGUGCGCAGGCGGCGCGUUAAGACAGGUGUGAAAGCCCCCGAGCUUAAACUUGGGGAAUUGCGCUUGUGACUGGCGUGCUGGAGUGUGACAGAGGGGAGGUGGAAUUUCCACGUGUAGCAGUGAAAUGCGUAGAGAUGUGGAGGAACACCGAUGGCGAAGGGCAGCCCUCCUGGGCCAGCACUGACGCUCAUGCACGAAAGCGUGGGAGCAAACAGG